ACCAACAGAGAAGAACGGUGUUGAGAACAAGAAAAUCCCGGGCCAGCUCCUGAGGGCUUCCGGUACCACUGCGCAGACUUCCGGUAUAGUCACACAGGGUGCUCCCACCCUGCCGCGGUUGUGGUAACUGACUGCAAGUCGGCAAGAUCUUCCCUGUCCAAGGCUUAACAGAGGGCGCUCAGGCAAAGUUCUCUAAGCAAAAUGGAGACUCAUGUGACCACAAAGCCAUUGUCAGAAGCCAUCAUCACCGAGAAUUACCAAAUCUGUGAUACCAUUUCAUAUGGAGCCAGUAUCUAAAUUUUUCCCAUCUUCAAAAACAUUUUUUUUUCCACUUCAAUAAAGUGUGUGUGUGUUGCAUCCAAGGACAACUUGCCUGAGUCAUCUCUUUUUCCAGAUGUUGUCGAUGUAGACAGCUGUAAAGCAGACCCUGCAAAUUGGAAAGAAGCGCUGGGGAGGUGGCGCAGAGGGUAACAUCCUUGUUACGAAGGUAUGAGGGCGGGAGUUCUGAUCUCCAGAAACCGUCUAAAUGCCAAGCAAACAUGGCGGCUGCCCAUCCAGCCGGAGGUGGAGAC